UGUUAUCUCAUAUUUGUCUUCUUGGAAUUUAUUUUGCUCUUCUCCUUACUUCUCGUGUUUCUUCAUGUCCCUUUGCAGGUGAUGUUGAGUAGAUGUUGCAUUGUCUUCUUUAAGAUUCACUUCUGAAAAGCUCCAAUUACGCAAUACCCAACGAAGUUUGGUAGCAAGUUUUAGGUGAGGCACAAGUUGUUUCCCACUAGAUCUGACACCACUUGCAGUGGACACGGUAAUUUUCAUUGCAAGUUGGAUAUCAGAGUUCUCAAUAAACUUUGGAGAACUUAUUGCAAAAGAGAUAAGACACAGAGUGACUAGGCCACCUAGUUCUUUACUUUUCUUCAACUUAAUGACAAGGCUAUGUAAAGCAGAAGUUGCUUAUUCAUGUCAGAAUUGAUGUGGAAACGGUAGUAACUAAGAGGUUCCACAUUGAGAAGAUGAGGGAUGAGUUGAGACUUGAGAUGUGAGUUCAUAAACUAGUGCCACAAGUAUUUGGUAUAGGUGCACAUGCAGGAGCCAGUGUUGGAGAGUGUCCUCUGAUGUCCACUAGCACUACUAUACCGACUUUUACACCCUCUACAUUAGAGGCAACGGGAGCAGACAUCGUAGAGUCUACUUAGUUUAUUGAGACUACUUCAUCAUAAUCACAGUUCUCACCAUAUGCUCUUACACCAACAAAUUUCAUGAGAUUGGUAAAGAUGGAGGAUCAAUAUGAGAAGCAGAGGAAGUUACUUGUUGAAUAACUAGGUCUGUUUGUUGAUACGGCCAUCACAGAGGUAUUGGGGUUGUAUAAAGACUUAAAUGCCCGGAUAGAUGAUAUGCAAUCCCAAGUUAAUGAUUGAUUGUGAUAUUUGAUAAUGUUUGAUUUGGCAAGGUUUGUAGUUGAGCUCGCCAAUUUAAGGCUGACGUUGCUCACGUAAGUGAGAAAGUGAUAGAGGUGUUCCCGGUUUUAAAUAUUGAGGGAUUGGAUAGGGAAGAGACAUUUAUUGAUGUACUCACUAUGCUUCCUUAAGUGUAACAACCCGGAAAUUGGGAAGUCGAAUUGAAAGGAAAAGUUGCAUUUUUGGCACUAAGGCGAUGUCUUACAGAAGCCAUCUACCGAUAGUAAGAAGUCCUACGGAUCGUAAGAAUGUGCCUUAUGAAGGCACUCGUUGGAUUGGGUUGAGUUUUAAGAAAUGUGAAGUCUCUGAUGUUUGACCUACAAGUGAACAGGAAGAGCUUUCUACGAGUUGUAUGAGGGUUUCAUAAAAGUGACCCAAACUUAGUGAAAUUUUAGACAUAAAGUUUUAUUCUACAAAAGAGUUCUAUGAAUCAUAGAAUGGAAGACGAUCCGUAGAAUGGUUUCGUGGAAGUUGAAUGGAUUUGUAUGCCCUAGUAACAGGUUCUUUGGUAUACCAGAACGGUUAUUAGAAAGACCUACGGAUUGUAGGUCCAAAUCAUUGACAUGUUUGGCAGUUUUAAUUAAGGGUGCUUUGAUCUUUUCCUACCCAAUUAACCCCUUAACUACGUUGUCUUGGCCCUAUAACUACCCUAUAAUCGUUUUUACUCAUUAACUAAGCCUAAUUUCUCUCCUUUAAACUCAAUAUCUCGUAAAACCCUCAAGUCUUCUUCUCCAAAAUUCUCUCUUAAGCUUCAAGGUGGAGAACUAAGAUUUGAAGCUUCAAGGUGUCAUUCUCUUUGCAUUUUUAGGGCUUUCAUUAUCAAGAUAUAUGGGAAUUCACCUAUAAAUUUUUUUCACCCAUUGAGUACCAAAAGAAUCUCAAUAACACAUUUAAUUUCACCCAAUUCUCUUUGGGUUUCAUGUAAAUCUCCGUGGGUCCUAUUUAUUAUGAUUCAAAUAUUUAUUUUCAAAUCUUAUUAUGCAUGAUUUGAUUCAAUUACAUGGUUUUUAAUUGAUUUCAUAUGGACUCCGUGCCUAUGAACAUGAACUAUACAUUAUGCUUAUGAACCUAUGGAUUAUGAUUAUGAAAGUUAUGCAUGUUUAUGAAAAAUGAUGAUUUAUGAACUAUGAAUAUCAUAUUUAUUAUAAGUGGAAGCUCCAAAGUAGAAAAGUUGAAUUAUAAUUUUACUGUUAUGCUAAAUUCAAAUGUUAUUAAAUAAAUGUUUAUGCUUAUGAACCUUAGUAUAUUUGAAUUCUUUUAUAUAUUUUAUUCUUAGAUUAAAGUUUUGUUUAUAUAGUACAUUUAAAUUUUAUAAAUUGUUUAAUAAAUUAAAUAUUAAUAUUAAAUAUUAAAUAGUAAAUCAUCAUAUUAGUAUACAUAACUUACCAUCAACUUGUAAAUGUAUGCAACUCUCACUAAUUAUAUUCAUUAUGUUCAUUACUCUCAUUUCUCAUCGAUAAUCUCAAAUGGAUUAAUAUUUAUUUACGACAACUCUUUGUACUCAAUGCUAUCCAAUAAUAAAUAGUGACACUUCACACAAUAAUAUAUAAACUUAAACCAAUUGAAAAAAAAUGAGAAAAUCUCUAUGCUCUCUUUUCUCGUCUCUUUUUAUUUAUUUAGUUUAACAUUUAUGUUUCUUGCUUGUUGUUAUUGUACAACUUACUUUCUAUUGUUGUGUUAUUAUUAUUGAUAAUUUACUAUGGUCUGUUGCUUUGUAUACAUUAACCUAUCAUGUUGUAUUUUAAUAUCUUCAUUGGAAUAUUGAAUUUGUGUGAUAGUUAUUUUUACUUUAUGCACUUUUAGUCAAUUUUAUAAUUAAAGAUAUAAUAUUUUUACUGGAAAGAUAUAUGUAGUUUCUAUCGAAACAAUGAUAAAUUUUACGAUACAAAAUUUAUAUGAAGUAUCUUGGGAUAAACGUGCAACGCACGUUCCUAAAUCUAGUUUUUUAAAUAAGUACGAUUUCUGAAAGGUUUUCUUACAUAUGAAUGAAAUCAUGAUUUAGAUACAAGUGUUUAUAUUGAAGAAGCUUAUGGGAUCAUAGUUUGAAAGAAACUACUCUACAAUGAAUUAUGAUUUGGAUUGGUAGUUCAAUUGUUUCUUUACAAAUAUUUUGAUACAAAUAUUAUUAUGUCUUUUCCAUUGGAAUUUAUUUAUCACCAAGAGGACUUUGAGAUGGAGAAUUUUCAGUUAGCAGAGGUUGGGUCUCUAAAAGCAAUUUCUUUUUCUCAAACUACGUGUCAGUCCCAAUAGAAUUUUCUUAAAUGACCUAGCUAGUGGAUCUACAAUAGCAGUUAUGUGAUAAAGUCUACCUUGGCAAGUAGAUUCCUCUUUUCGGCGUGAGAUUCAUGUUGUAUUCAUGGUAUAGCUCACAUGGCCUUAUUGUUGGUUAACGGUAAACAUCCCACAAAUGAAUUAUGUUUCUUCAAAAGGUUUAUAAAAAGGCUUCUCCAAUGAUUUAAGUAUGAAUUGACCUUGAUUAGGCUUUUACUAUGUUUUACUUGGUCAUGCUUAUUAUGUUUAAGGUUCCCCCAUUGAAAUGCCUAUGUUUUUAUGCAUUUUUCAUACUUAAAGCACUCAAUGUACUAAUGCAUAGUUGCACCUCUAUUAUCUUAUAAUAUAGGGCAUGACACUUCUCCUUCAUGGACAUGCUCAAAUCAGGAUUGCUCAUCUUGAUCAUUGAGUGGGUGACUCCUCAUGCUUCGAGGGAAAAUAAGUUUUAGAUUUGUAUGUGGUGUAUGAAUUACGUCUCAAUCACUUUUAUCUUUUAGAAAGGCUUUUAUCAGACGAAUCAUUCCACAUAUUUCUUAAGUACUAUGUUGGUAUCUUUUAUGACGUCUUAUGAUUUGAGACCUAUAUGUGUUAUAUCUCUUGAUUAUAUUGUUAUUAAGUCAUGCUUAUAUCAAGUGGUUUGUUUAGGGUAUCUCAUGAUCCGAUUCAACAUGUCAUAUAUAGGGGAAUGUAUCACAAGCCGCAUGUGAUAGAGUCUUGUUCAUAAGUGUGAAGCUCGACACAUUUAUGAAUAGAAGGCUACAAGGAUAUGCCUCCUCAAAAAGCUAACAUAACACGAAAUGAAAUGCCCGAUAUUCCUCAAGUAUCAGUCGAUCCUUUGGCCGAAAAAAGUGACUCGUGCUGAAUUUCGAGUCGCUUUUCAUGCUUUGGCUCAUGCUAUGAUGACCCAAGAAAAUAAAGAGGUUAUUGCUUAUGUGAACCCAAUUGUUGAUACGACAACAAUAAAGGUAAGUGACUUCACUCGAAUGAAUUCCCCAAAAUUUCAUGGGUCGAAAGUUGAGGAUCCUCAAGAGUUCAUUGAUGAGAUAUAUAAUAUAGUGGAAAAUAUGGGAGUUUCAAUGGCCGAGAAGACAAAAUAGGUCGCUUAUCAAUUCAAGGGUGUUGUUCAAGUUUGGUUCAACCAGGUCCUUUUGAUAGGGAGAAAUUCAAAUGGUAUUUUCUUGAUCAUUUUCCCCAUUGCGAUUAGAAAGACAACGGUAAUUCAGUUCAUUGAUCUUCGUAUGAAAAAAUAUGCUUUGAAGUGUACUUAAUUAGCUAAGUAUGCUCCAACUAGGCUACCGACUCUAGGACAAGGAUGAGUAACAUUGAUUAGGCUUUUACUAUGUUUUACCUGGUCAUGCAUAUUAUAUAUAAGGUUCCCCCGUUGACAUGCCUAUGUUUUUUAUGCAUUUUCCAUACUUAGUACAUUCAAUGUACUAAUGCAUAGUUGCAUCUCUAUUAUUUUAUAAUAUAGGGUAUGACACUUUUCCUUCAUGGACAUGCUCAAAUCAGGAUUGCUCAUCUUGAUCAUUGACUGGGUGAUUCCUCAUGCUUCGAGGGCAAAGACAUGGACACUUUUAUUACUUUCAUUGUAUUUUCAGUUUUAGAUUUGUAUGUGGUGUAUGAAUUAUGUCUCAAUCACUUUUAUGUUGUAGAAAGGCUUUUAUCAGACGAAGCAUUCCACAUAUUUCUUAAGUACUAUGUUGGUAUCUUUUAUGUCAUCUUAUGAUUUGAGAUCUA